GACGAACCGUGCAAACGUUAUUCGGAAUCACUGGGCUUAAAGGGCGCGUAGGCGGGCUGGCCAGUCUGUGGUGAAAUCCCCCGGCUUAACCGGGGAACUGCCGUGGAUACUGCCAGCCUCGAGGAGGGUAGGGGCAUCUGGAACAGCCGGUGGAGCGGUGAAAUGCGUUGAUAUCGGCUGGAACUCCGGUGGCGAAGGCGAGAUGCUGGACCCUUUCUGACGCUGAGGCGCGAAAGCCAGGGGAGCGAACGGG
rnacentral:rRNA from 1 species